rnacentral:tRNA from 1 species
GGGCCGUUAGCUCAGUCGGUAGAGCAGUUGGCUUUUAACCAAUUGGUCCGGAGUUCAAGUCUCCGACGGCCCACCA